AUUGAACGCUGGCGGCAGGCCUAACACAUGCAAGUCGCGCGAGCGGCGGACGGGUGAGUAAUGUAUGGGGAUCUGCCUGAUAGCGGGGGAUAACUACUGGAAACGGUAGCUAAUACCGCAUACCAUCAGAUGAACCCAUAUGGGAUUAGCUUGUAUGUGAGGUAACGGCUCACCUAGGCGACGAUCCGUAGCUGGGCUGAGAGGAUGAUCAGCCACACUGGGACGGAGACACGGCCCAGAGUACUACGGGAGGCAGAGGUGGGGAAUAUUGAACAAUGGGCGCAAGCCUGAUGCAGCCAUGCCGCUGGUAUGAAGAAGGCCUUCGGGUUGUAAAGUACUUUCAGCCGGGAGGCGUUACCGACAGAAGAAGCACCGGCUAACUCCGUGCCAGCAGCCGCGGUAAUUC
rnacentral:rRNA from 1 species